GUUCACUUCUUCUGCACGCUGAAUUCGAAGCUCGCCUCCCAAGCUUCCCCGCAUCUCCGGCGCCAGAACGACCCACGAUUAAGAUUCCCCCCACUACUGUGGGGGAAGCUCAGCCCUUCUACUGAAGGCUUGAGGUCGAGGUUGGCCUGAGGCUGCCAGUUGCAGUUUUGGAGGCAGGCGCCACCCCGCAGGCGACUUCCAGUUUCUACGCUCUGGGCGCCGGGGGGAAGACGGCACACUCACUCGGUCCGGAGUCACGUGCAGAGUGCGGCUAGCACUCGAAUCGGCAAGCAAGGAGAUAGUGACCCAUGUAUCCAGGAUCUUCUCAAUAGACUAAAGUGGAGAGUAUUCUUUGUCAUAAGUCCUUCAGACUGCUCCUGGAUCCUGGAUCAUACUGCUGAGAGUAGCCAAGUCUUAUCACAGGACCGUUUCAUAGCAUAUGAAGAGGAGGAAAUCAUGCUACUAAUCCUGGAUUGAGCAGCAACAGGAGGAGAGAUCAAAUUAUUUGAAAGCAGAAGGUAAUG